CUGACCUCAGAUCAGGCGAGAUUACCCGCUGAGUUUAAGCAUAUCACUAAGCGGAGGAAAAGAAACUAACAAGGAUUCCCUU
rnacentral:rRNA from 1 species